rnacentral:rRNA from 1 species
UACGAAGGGGGCUAGCGUUGUUCGGAAUCACUGGGCGUAAAGCGCACGUAGGCGGAUCUUUAAGUCAGGGGUGAAAUCCCGAGGCUCAACCUCGGAACUGCCUUUGAUACUGGGGAUCUCGAGUCCGGGAGAGGUGAGUGGAACUGCGAGUGUAGAGGUGAAAUUCGUAGAUAUUCGCAAGAACACCAGUGGCGAAGGCGGCUCACGGGCCCGGAACUGACGCUGAGGUGCGAAAGCGUGGGGAGCGAACAGG